UGGGGAAUAUUGGACAAUGGGGGGAACCCUGAUCCAGCCAUGCCGCGUGUGUGAAGAAGGCCUUAUGGUUGUAAAGCACUUUAAGCGAGGAGGAGGGUACUGGUAUUAAUACUACCAGGUACUGGACGUUACUCGCAGAAUAAGCACCGGCUAACUCUGUGCCAGCAGCCGCGGUAAUACAGAGGGUGCGAGCGUUAAUCGGAUUUACUGGGCGUAAAGCGUGCGUAGGCGGCUAAUUGAGUCGGAUGUGAAAUCCCCGGGCUUAACUUGGGAAAUGCAUUCGAUACUGGUUAGCUAGAGUGUGGGAGAGGAUGGUGGAAUUCCAGGUGUAGCGGUGAAAUGCGUAGAGAUCUGGAGGAAUACCGAUGGCGAAGGCAGCCAUCUGGCCUAACACUGACGCUGAGGUACGAAAGCAUGGGGAGCAAACAGG
rnacentral:rRNA from 1 species